GCCUUCGUAGUGUAAUGGUCAGCACACCCAGCGUGUGUUCGAGAGGUCCAGGUUCGAGUCCUGGCGACGGCA
rnacentral:tRNA from 1 species